AACGCUAGCUACAGGCUUAACACAUGCAAGUCGAGGGGCAGCAUGGUCUUAGCUUGCUAAGACUGAUGGCGACCGGCGCACGGGUGAGUAACACGUAUCCAACCUGCCGUCUACUCUUGGACAGCCUUCUGAAAGGAAGAUUAAUACAAGAUGGCAUCAUGAGUCCGCAUGUUCACAUGAUUAAAGGUAUUCCGGUAGACGAUGGGGAUGCGUUCCAUUAGAUAGUAGGCGGGGUAACGGCCCACCUAGUCUUCGAUGGAUAGGGGUUCUGAGAGGAAGGUCCCCCACAUUGGAACUGAGACACGGUCCAAACUCCUACGGGAGGCAGCAGUGAGGAAUAUUGGUCAAUGGGCGAGAGCCUGAACCAGCCAAGUAGCGUGAAGGAUGACUGCCCUAUGGGUUGUAAACUUCUUUUAUAAAGGAAUAAAGUCGGGUAUGUAUACCCGUUUGCAUGUACUUUAUGAAUAAGGAUCGGCUAACUCCGUGCCAGCAGCCGCGGUAAUACGGAGGAUCCGAGCGUUAUCCGGAUUUAUUGGGUUUAAAGGGAGCGUAGAUGGAUGUUUAAGUCAGUUGUGAAAGUUUGCGGCUCAACCGUAAAAUUGCAGUUGAUACUGGAUAUCUUGAGUGCAGUUGAGGCAGGCGGAAUUCGUGGUGUAGCGGUGAAAUGCUUAGAUAUCACGAAGAACUCCGAUUG
rnacentral:rRNA from 1 species